rnacentral:rRNA from 1 species
AGCGAACGCUGGCGGCAGGCCUAACACAUGCAAGUCGAACGAAGUCUUCGGACUUAGUGGCGGACGGGUGAGUAACACGUGGGAACGUGCCUUUAGGUUCGGAAUAACUCAGGGAAACUUGUGCUAAUACCGAAUGUGCCCUUCGGGGGAAAGAUUUAUCGCCUUUAGAGCGGCCCGCGUCUGAUUAGCUAGUUGGUGGGGUAAUGGCCCACCAAGGCUACGAUCAGUAGCUGGUCUGAGAGGAUGACCAGCCACAUUGGGACUGAGACACGGCCCAAACUCCUACGGGAGGCAGCAGUGGGGAAUCUUGCGAAAUGGGCGAAAGCCUGACGCAGCCAUGCCGCGUGAAUGAUGAAGGUCUUAGGAUUGUAAAAUUCUUUCACCGGGGACGAUAAUGACGGUACCCGGAGAAGAAGCCCCGGCUAACUUCGUGCCAGCCGCCGCCGUAACAC